UACGAAGGGGGCUAGCGUUGCUCGGAAUCACUGGGCGUAAAGCGCACGUAGGCGGAUUGUUAAGUCAGGGGUGAAAUCCUGGAGCUCAACUCCAGAACUGCCUUUGAUACUGGCGACCUUGAGUCCGGGAGAGGUGAGUGGAACUCCGAGUGUAGAGGUGAAAUUCGUAGAUAUUCGGAAGAACACCAGUGGCGAAGGCGGCUCACUGGCCCGGUACUGACGCUGAGGUGCGAAAGCGUGGGGAGCAAACAGG
rnacentral:rRNA from 1 species